rnacentral:rRNA from 1 species
GAUGAACGCUGGCGGCGUGCCUAAUACAUGCAAGUCGAGCGAACAGACGAGGAGCUUGCUCCUCUGACGUUAGCGGCGGACGGGUGAGUAACACGUGGAUAACCUACCUAUAAGACUGGGAUAACUUCGGGAAACCGGAGCUAAUACCGGAUAAUAUAUUGAACCGCAUGGUUCAAUAGUGAAAGACGGUUUUGCUGUCACUUAUAGAUGGAUCCGCGCCGCAUUAGCUAGUUGGUAAGGUAACGGCUUACCAAGGCAACGAUGCGUAGCCGACCUGAGAGGGGUAUGGGCCACACUGGAACUGAGACACGGUCCAGACCCCUACGGGGGGCAGCAGUAGGGAAUUUUCCGAAAUGGGGGAAAGCCUGAAGGAGCAACGCCGGGUGGGUGAUGAAGGGUUUCGGAUCGUAAAACUCUUUUAUUAGGGAAAAACAAAUGUGUAAGUAACUAUGCACGUCUUGACGGUACCUAAUCAGAAAGCCACGGCUAACUACGU